GUACAGGAAGGCAGGCAAACUGGAAAACCUAGUAUUGCACAGCAGAGAGCUGUAGUUCUCACGGCUGGGCAAAUUGAUACUUCCUCCACCUCCUGUUUCUCUGUAGCUAGUGCAGCCGACGUCAUUUGUUCUUCCAAGGAAUUCCCCUUAUUAAUCAGUGUUUUGAGAUCACUUCUGUGAAAACUAUCCCAACUCUCCCUGUUAAGUGUCUCCAGCCUCGUAUCAGAGCUAUUACUGACCUGAAACCAGAAGGAAAUGAGUUGCCUCUGUGCUUGCUUUAGAGUCAGAGGUCCUCACACAGAGACAGAAGAAAUAAAAAGGCAAAGCUCUGCUCAGGAGCAUGAGAUUAUUGAAUUAAAAGAAGAUAACGUGGAGGAAAGCGAGGCUGAUCAUGACAAGCCUCUAAAUGCUCCAACGAGAAAGGAGAGAGAUCAUUGGAAGUCCUGCAGGAGUGUAGUUUUCUGGAAGUGUAAACUAUGGAUGGUUAUAACUGCAAUAUUUCUAGUAAUCUUCCUCGUCAUUCUCAUCAGCCUAAUUCUUUAUUCUAAUGUUUACACAGAUGAGGAUGACUAUUGGGAUCCUGAUGCACUACUAAACAGUGGAAAUUUUCACAAUUUUUCGGGAACAUUGGAGUUAAUGUGUGGUCUCCCACACUUUUUCUCUGAGGACAUUACUAAGAGGCUAACAGAGGUCUACAGUUCAUCUCCAGCUUUAGGACGUUACUUUAGGUCAGCUCAAGUGAUUUCUUUCAGUAAUGAAAGCUCCACUGUAAUUUAUCAGCUAGUGUUUUCUGUACCACCAACAACAGAAGGAUUUAUGGAAAACAUUAUGAACCCAGAUUUUAUAAGGAACAUUUUACGUCAAAAUAUUUAUGAUGAAGAUGAUACUUUUAAUCCUGAGACAUCUGAAUGUGACAAGUUAAAGCUUGACCGAACUUCUCUCACAUAGAAAUGAUGGAAAAGUUCCUCGUCUUCAUCACCACAUAGAAGAGAUGACAUCUCCUAUCUGUUAGUAAUCCCAGGGCAGGGAGCUAUUCAUUAGGAACAUGACUGACACCACGUCUUUCUGAUACAUUAAUGUUUUGAUUCAGUUACCCCGGAGAGCAGCAAAAAAAAAAAAUUGCUUUUAGUCUUUACCUUGAUGGUACUUGAUGGAUAGCUGUAGGUCUCUGCUGAGGAGAGAGGAAGAAAACACGUGAUUGUCAUGCUUUGGUGCAGCGACAUGAGACAAGGAUUUUUGGCAGCACAGGACUUAGCUACAGACGGAGCACAGGCUGUGCAAAAGCAUGAGCUCACGUGGCAUUAGUUGGGGAAAGAGUUGAACCUCUGAGGGCUAAAUAAAUCUGAUGAUUUAUCUUCUCUCUAGUUCAACACACACUUGUGUCAUGCAGUAGUGCUCAACGACCUCAAGAAAACCUAGAUUUGCAGCCUUAUUGGGUUUUUCUUUUUGUUGUUUUGUUUUUGGGGGUUUAAUUAACUGAAGUCAGUUGUACAUGUCUGCUUAGAAAUGGAUGAUCUUGCUUGCUCACGCUCUGACUCUGCUUUAGCUUUAUGGCCAACGAAACCUGAAUUGUGCCUGGGAUCACCGGCUGGGCGCUGGGGCUCAGAGGCACUACAUGAUGUGCCACAUGCCUGACUGUGCACUGGGUGUCUGCGUGCAUGGGUCUGGCAGGCUUGAGCCGUUCUGGAAAUUUGCCUCUCUGUCCCAUAAGUGUCUAAAUGGCAGAGGGCUGUCAUUUGCAUCAUGCUCUCAGCCUUGUUUUUAUCAGUCUAGUUCAUUCUUGUUAUGAGGCUGAUUGCUCCUCUAAAAUUUUAGAGCUGAGUUUUCACUUUUGCCUAAGAGAAUGGGAUUUUUAAGCAUACUUUUUUUGCAACCUGACAGAAGGAGAGACAUCUGUCUCCCGGUAUUGUGUUAAAGCUGCUAUCUUAGAGAAUUUGAGGUGUUUUCAAACAUUAUUGUGCUGCCUUAAGACUGCCAUGAAAUUGCUGAUGUAAAUGACUAACAAGAAACUGUUUUUUGCUAAGCAAAUACUGCAGCUCGUGAAAAUGGUAAAAGUAUUAUGUCUUUGCUACAUGAAUGGCUUCACCCACAGGGGAAAAAUGUAGCAGUCUGAAUCGAAACCAAGACCUCCUGAUUCACAUGAACACAUGUGAUCCUGGCUAUCAUGUGAGUCUUCCCUAUUUGCAUAUUCAAUAUGCAGAAACUGUUUUAUUAGGAGAAUGUGUCAUACUGACGUGUGUUUAGAGAAAGUUCUAAACUGUGCUUGUGUAGGGGAAUGAGGGCUGGUGUGUGACCAAAUGCAGGCUGUGCUGUGCUGGCAGCCCACUUCCUUCAGCAGCCCUCCACCUCAUUUGCAGGGGAUGAAGCAGAGGCUCCCCUGCUCUGGUUCAAGUGCUUGCAAUCCUGUUUGGGAUGUAGGAAGGCCAGGUUCACCACUGCAGGAGGCAGCUGCAAAGCGGUGGCUGAGGCACGCAUGGUUUUGUAGCUGGAGAGGACAGCUGCCCCCUCAUGCUGCCUUCUCCAGAAACAAAAUAGACCAGAGGCCCCAAGAUAUCCCCAAGAUAUCCCCAGGAACGCAGAUAUCCCCCAUUGGAUGCAAGGAGGUUUCCCUCGGCUGGAGCGCAAAAUGCCUGGUCGUGGCUGCUGCCCACCACAUCCGCAGCGAUGCUGGAUGCUGGCAGAGAGCUCCCCCUUGCCCCCACCCAUGCGAUGCCACAUCACCCCCGAGGUGCUCAAGGAACCUCUUUACUUACUUUGCUUGUGGGAAUAUCUUUUUCUCCUGAUCGGGAUGGGUAUUUUCCACCUAGGGCAUGAAAAUAAAGGUGAGAAGGUAGGUCUGGCACUUCAUAGUCCUCAUCCUCACUGCCAAUCCAUGGGCACCUGUGUUCCCAUAGGGAGACCCCUUCUCCAGCUUUUUGGAUAAGGCACUUUAUUCAGCUUCUCUGCUGCUGUUCUCCCCUGGAGGCAGUCCCUGGCAAGGCAUCCAGUUCUGCCCUGGAAGCUGCAGGAGCAGGGGCUGUCGCAGGGGGGUAGAGGCACAAAUCACCACUCGGAGGAUGGAGGGAUGGCAGGGACAAGCUGGUGGCUGUUGGCAGGUGUUACAGCACGUAGCUAUUCGUGGGAAGUACAGCCUGUGUCCCCCUGUGAGGAGCCUGGCAGCACCUCUGCAAAGUUUGUGGAUUUGAGGAGCAAUCAGCCUUUCUGGGCUUGUCUGUAUUAAGUACCUCUAGAUGAGUGAGUGAGCGAGCAGUAAAUAUUGGAGAGAGAUAGCGGAGAACCAGUCUCAUGCUCCCACAAAUGAUCUACAUCAAUCUGACCUUUAGUGUGUCUUGGUGAAAAGCAAAAGGAAGAAAAACACAGCAGUUGUGCAACACAAAUUGCAAACACACGGGUGAGUGCAAGGCUAGCAGACACGACAGCUUCUGGGACAUCUGUCUCCAGCAGCUGAAAUAAUCCUUGCUGUUUCAAGCAGAAGACUAUACUUCCAGGUUUAGGUACUGAAAUUAUUUGGCAAAUUUGGAGCCUUUACAUUAUGUUCAGAUUGCUGUUACCGUGUUUCUUGGUAAUAAGAACUAGGCUUGCCGGGGUGUGCGUUAUCGCUUAUGGUUUAAAAUGUUGUGUUUGUACAAUGCCUGUAAUGUACAAGCAUUUUGCAAUGUAGUGUUAAUAUUUAUAUCUUAGUUUUACAUAUAUAAUAAAAAUGCACUAAGGGGUGUGAAGCUGCCAAGUCAUAUGAACUUGAGAAAUAUGCCCAACUUGCUGACGGAGGUACAUUAUGAGUGGGUCUCUAAUUGCUUAUUUGCAUAUUCUCUUUCCCAGUACUGAGGUAAAUAGGUGAUGCCAUGAUCUUUUGUUGUUGAUACUUUCCCUGAUAAAUGUGUGCUCUUUGGUCUCAUUUCUUCUGUAUACUACCUAAGUUCGGCAACUCGCCUGAAAUAAUUUCUUUCUAUAUAUGCCUCUGGUGCUUUUAUAAGACUAGCAGAAAGUUUUGAAAAUAUUAGUAAACUUCCUAACUUUCUGUUUAGUGGGAGGAUUUAGAUUGCUUUCAUUACAGCUGUGUAUAAAAAUAAAGUUAUAAUCCUACCUCCUUCCAGGUUGCCUACUUGAUUUUCUCUGAAUUAUGUGUAGUGGUUUUCCUACACUGAGCACAAACUCCUCUACCCUAGUUGGAGAUGCAAGGGGGACUGUUUCAUGUAAUUCAGUCCUAGAAUUCCUAUGAGAUACAUUUAAAAUAAAAUAUGUAUGUAUAUUUAUAAUACACGUAAUUCACAUUUGGAGUCUAUUGUAACUGUCAAGCAUCAUGAGUUUAAGUAUUUUCUUUUCUAACCUUUAUUUAUUCCACUUUUUCUUGUUUAUAUUGAGUUGGCUUCUGAUUUUCUUAGUCUCUGGCUCAGGGGGAAAGGCUGUUG